UAAAAACACGCACUACAGCCAUGGUUCAGGCCCACUGAGGCUGAGGAAAUAAAAAACAGGUGUGAUACUUCCAUUAUGGUCAAAUAAAAUUUCUAGGCAAGCUGUAACAUUUUUGAGUUGGAAUUUUAAGUAACAGAGAUUCAAGAACAAAUUACAAAAUGAUUAAAGUUAAAUUUAAAAGGCAAAGAACCAUUAAUAGGUAUUUAACAGAAAUCUCUUUUUGAACAAAAUACCUUGUUGGAAAAUCAAGAAGUUCAACCAACUUGUUUCCACCCCAAUUUACUCUUAACUUUAUUUAAACUGUUCUACUUACUCAAGCAUUUAUGAAUAUCAAAGUUGUAUUAUAUAUUACGUGAGAGCUCCCGCUCAGUAAUAACUAUGAUUCUAGCUAAUGUGCAUAGGUAAACAGGCCGUAAGAGCCAGGGCUUAACAUUUUCUCACCUGGUAACUUUCGUAAUUCGAUUUUUCCUUGUGACAUACCUAGAAACCUUUAUUACAUAUGCAGUAGGCACAAUCCAGGACACAUUUACGAAUAAUUACCUUCUCUCAAUUGGGAAGACAAGGACCUAUGGUAACAGCUCCAUAAUUAUGAGUAACGCUUAAGUCAAGAAAAACACCAAUCCUUAUUCUUCCCCACUAUUUGAAGGGAACCAACAAAACAAUCCUUAAAUUAUUCAUCAUCAUUACUUCCACCUGUGAUCAAUUAUCAAUGAAUUAAAACAUAUCUAAGGUUUGCUCAUUCGUAUUGCCUACCAGGAUUGGUGAAAUGUAGGGAAAGAACAAAGAAGGUCACUAGUCUAACAUUCUAGGAUGGGAGCUGGCAAACUUUUUCUGUAAAGGACCAGAGAGUAAAUAUUUUAGGCUUUGUGAACCAAAAGGUAAAAUUGAGGAUACCAUAAACAGCACUAGCAGCCAUGAUACAACCCUCUUAUGAUGACAGUGCUGCUCAAAUGUCUUCUGAGAGGAAGUUCUGUUGCUAUACCAAACAACCGUACUUAUCUCCUGAGGCAGUUACAGGAAGCACAGACAACUGACAAAUGUCAACCAAGUACACCUUUUCACAGGCCAUGCAAUACAAGUAACUUUUGUUCACUAACAUCAGAUGACAGAUUAAAUAGAAAUAUGGCUAAUA
rnacentral:lncRNA from 1 species